UAAUUUGUAGCUUUUUAUUGAAUGGUAAUAACAAUGAUGAUGAUGUAGUAAUAAAAACUAAAACAAAACUGCUAUCAACAACUAACAUAUACUAAGUAUUUGAUGUGUACUAGGCAAUAUUCUAAGCACAUUUAAUCCUUUUAGCAAUACUAUUAAACACUAGAUAUUAUGUGACUCAUGUCUUUAUUACCUCCAUUUUAUACUUAAGAAUAUUUCAGCUAAAAUAUUAAGUGGCCAUCCCACAUAUCUAAGUAACAAGCCAAGAUUUUAAUUUACAUACUCCACCCUACCUUGUCAACUUGCCUAUGAUAUGGUCUUAUUGCAUAGAUUGCUACCUUACUAUAUAGAAUAUUACCUACUACAGAGGCUAGAUGUUGCCAAUCUGAACUAGGAUGCAGAGUGUUUGAAGCUCUUAUCCAAUUUAGUCACUAGUUUUUCCCAGUGACCAAGUCAUGCAGUUAUCAUUUCUAGUCUUCAGUGUGUUCAUCUGUAAAAUGAAAUAGUAAUAGAUGAUAGCUGAGGUAUUUUCUAGUUCUGAUAUUUUGAGGAUUAAGAAGAUGAUGUGUUUUAGAUAAAAGGUAAAUAAAAUGGUCAUUUUUGAACUAUUGGUGUGUGUGUGUGCAUGCAUGUGCACAUGCACAGACUUAAAAAAAUGAGACAUCUGCUUUGGAUCCAGUUGUAUCUCUCUACCUGUAUGAAUCUCCUGUAUGACUUGGGGCUGCUUGCUUUAUCUUGAUGAACUUUAGUUUCUUUUCUUUUCUGUUAGAUGUGAUAAUACUAUGUGUAUAGAGUGCCUAGCAUGUUGCCCAGGCACUGUUGACACUUAUGUCUUCAUGUAGAUGGUGUGAAAGUUGAAUAAAGGAUGACCCACUAAGGAAGUGGGGUCCAGAAAAGAGGUUGCUUCAGCCAGAAGGGUCACUUUUUUGAAGGGGUAGCUGGGUAGGUAUUUUUGCAUGAUGGAUCUCUUGGUAAUUGACCUCAUAGGUGAGAAUAAUUUAGGCCUGAAAUUACCAAACCUUUGGCAGUUUUCCUUUUAUACUUUUUUUCCCCACUUAUAUCACUUUCUUUUCACUGUUCUUCCAUGGGCAAUUGUUUUAUCUGUAAAUAUUCUUUUCAUAGCAGUGUUCUUCAGACACCUUGAAAGGAUGUCACUUAGCAAUCAUACUGGGUUGGAGUGUUCCCCUCAAUUUCAUGCCCACCUGAAAUCUCAGAAUGUAACCUCAGUUGGAAAUAGAAUUUUUUAGAUGCAGUCAAAUUAAAAGAUGAUUUCAUACUGGGAUUAGGGUGGGGCCAAAUCCAAUAACUUUAUCUUUAUAAAAAGAAGGAAAUGUGGACAUAGAUUCCAAGAUGAGAAUGCCAUGUGAACACUGAAGACACACAGGGAGGACAGUAUGCGAACAUAGGUAGAGGUCAGAGUGGUGUGUCUACAAGGCAAGGGCUACAAAGGAUUGAUUAUUUGGCAACCGCCAGCAGCUAGAAAGAGGCAAGGAAAGAUCCUCCCCUACAGCCUUCAGAGAGAACAAGACCCCAUCAACACUGAUUUAGGACUGCUAGCCUCUAGAGCUGAGAGAGAAUAAAUUUUUGUUAUUCAAAGCCACUCAGUUUGUAGUACUUUUGUUAUGGAAGCCCUAUGAAACUAUUGUAGCAAGUGAGUUAUUUGUUACUACCAAUAAUCAGAGUUGGAUGGGAGGGAGAGAGACAAAUAAGACACUGACUAAGAGGGGGAAUAAAAUAAGAUGUAUCCACAAAAGAGUGAUUUGAAAGUCAUUUAUGGUCUUCAUGGCUCUUCCGCCCAGUGUAAGUAAAAACUCUUUUUAACUCUUAUUAUCCAGGGUCAGAGCAGGUGUUGUGGAAAUGACAAAACAAAACAAAAUUGGAUUUUUAGUAGGCUAACAUUCUUUAAAAGUUUGACUUUCAUAAAACCAAUGUAGUAUAAACUAUGAUGAUUACCAGUGAGUUACUGAAAUGUUGGUCACUCAAUUGGCUAUAGAAUGGGAGAAAAUAGUAUCAAAUGAUGCAACUGACAAGGGCUUAAUCUCUAAAAUAUACAAACAACUUAUACAACUCAGCAAAAAACCAACAACCCAAUUGAAAAAAUGGGCAGAAGACCUGAAUAGAGAUUUCUCUAAAGAAGAUAAACAGAUGGCCAAUAGGCACAUGAAAAAAUGCUAGACAUCACUAAUUAUUAGAGAAAUUCAAAUCACAAUGAGGUACCACCUCACACCAGUCAGAAUGGCCAUCAUUAACAAGUCAACAAAUAACAAAUGCUGGAGAGGGUGUGGAGAAAAGGGAACCCUCCUACAUGGCCAGUAGGAAUGUAAAUUGGUACAACCACUAUGGAAAACAGUAUGUAGGUACCUCAGAAAACUAGAUAUAGAACUUCCAUAUGACUCAGCAGUUCUACUCUUGGGCAUGUAUCUGGACAAAACUUUCAUUGAAAAAGAUACAUGCACCCGUAUGUUCAUUACAGCACCAUUCACAAUAGCUAAGACAUGAAAACAGCCUAAAUAUCCUUUGACAGAUGAAUGGUUAAGAAGAUGUGGUAUAUAUACACAAAGGAAUACUAUUCAGCCAUAAAAAAGAACAAAAUAGUGCCAUUUGCAGCAACAUGUUUAGAACUAGAGACUCUCAUACUAAGUGAAGUUAAG
rnacentral:lncRNA from 1 species